rnacentral:rRNA from 1 species
UCGAUCUCAAAUCAGGUAGGACUACCCGCUGAACUUAAGCAUAUCAAUAAGCGGAGGAAAAGAAACUAACAAGGAUUCCCCUAGUAACUGCGAGUGAAGCGGGAAGAGCUCAAAUUUAAAAUCUGGCGUGCCUCUGGUCGUCCGAAUUGUAGUCUGGAGAAGCGUUUUCCGUGUUGGACCGUGUAUAAGUCUCUUGGAACAGGGCGUCAUAGAGGGUGAGAAUCCCGUCUUUGACACGGACUACCAAUGCUUUGUGAUGCGCUCUCAAAGAGUCGAGUUGUUUGGGAAUGCAGCUCAAAAUGGGUGGUAAAUUCCAUCUAAAGCUAAAUAUAGGCGAGAGACCGAUAGCGAACAAGUACCGUGAGGGAAAGAUGAAAAGCACUUUGGAAAGAGAGUUAAACAGUACGUGAAAUUGCUGAAAGGGAAACGCUUGAAGUCAGUCGUGUCUGCCAGGACUCAGCCUCGCUUCUGCUUGGUGCACUUUCUGGUUUGACGGGCCAACAUCAAUUUUGACCGUUGGAGAAAGGCUUGGGGAAUGUGGCACUUUCGGGUGUGUUAUAGCCCUUUGUCAUAUACGGCGGUUGGGAUUGAGGACUGCAGCACGCCUUUACGGCCGGGGUUCGCCCACGUACGUGCUUAGGAUGUUGGCAUAAUGGCUUUAAGCGACCCGUCUUGAAACACGGACCAAGGAGUCUAACAUGCCUGCGAGUGUUUGGGUGGAAAACCCAUGCGCGUAAUGAAAGUGACAGCUGAGAUCCCCCUCACAAGGAGCAUCAGCGCCUGGACUUGAUCUAUGGAGACGGUUCUACGGUAGAGCAUGUAUGUUGGGACCCGAAAGAUGGUGAACUAUGCCUGAAUAGGGUGAAGCCAGAGGAAACUCUGGUGGAGGCUCGUAGCGAUUCUGACGUGCAAAUCGAUCGU